AUACGUAGGGAGCGAGCGUUGUCCGGAAUGAUUGGGCGUAAAGGGCGUGUAGGCGGCCGUUUAAGUCUGGAGUGAAAUUCCUGUUUUUAAGGUAGGAACUGCUUUGGAAACUGGACGGCUUGAGUGCAGGAGAGGUUAUCGGAAUUCCCGGUGUAGCGGUGAAAUGCGUAGAGAUCGGGAGGAACACCAGUGGCGAAGGCGGGUAACUGGACUGCAACUGACGCUGAGGCGCGAAAGUGUGGGGAGCAAACAGGAUUAGAUACCCUGGUAGUCCACACUGUAAACGAUGAAUGCUAGGUGUAGGGGGUAUCGACCCCUUCUGUGCCGGAGUCAACACAAUAAGCAUUCCGCCUGGGGAGUACGGCCGCAAGGUUGAA
rnacentral:rRNA from 1 species